UCCUCAAUGCUUGUGCAUGAAAAUGUGGACGAGAUUAUUCUGUGCCUUUUGUCCUGAUAGAGCUUUCUACUUGAUCCCUCACUCCUUAAAUUCUGGACUUCUGUAUGCGUUGCUGAUGCCUGCUCAUAGUGAUGGACCAUUGUUGUUUUUGUUUGCUGUUGACGCAUUGUCGGAUAUGGUUAUGAUCAGGAUGUAUUUUGGCUAGUGGAUGCAGUAGUCUACGGCAGGGUUAUGUUGUGGUAUGCUCCUGUGGGCAAGUAAUUCCGGGCUGUUGUAGAGCAGCAACAUUUUGUCAUGGUUUCCGGUCGGUAUACCACAGCCACCUCUUGCUCGUAGCCUUGGCUUGCAGCACUAGCUACCAAUGCUUGCGAAGUGCUAAGUCACGAUUUCAUUAUGCCGUUGAUACUCAGUUUGGUGCGGUUUUUUGAAGGAACAUUGACACUGCAGGGGUGAUGCAUACUUUAUCAUGUUGGUUCACAAAGCAAGCGUAGCAAUUCGGAUUUUGUAAUGACCUUGGACUUUGGCUUGUCUUGUAUGUAGAAUCUAAGACUUCACAUCACGGUUGCAAUCGGGUAUUGUUGAUUUUACCGACGUAGCCUAUGUCAUGACAAUUUUGGUACGGAUGUGAUAUUCGACUGGUGAAUGUAUCUCGGUUGAUGCAUACAGCAUGAGAGAAUUCCCAGGGUGGUUUCAUCUAUUAUGAACCUAUCCACUGUAACUUUUUCUUCAACUUGUUAUUUCUGGCGUUGUUGGUAUUGCAGGUCCAUGGUUAUUGAGACGAACUGACUUAUGGCGACAUGAAUGGCUGAACUUAACUGAUGUGAUGAUGACAUUUGGUUCCGCGGCCGUUUGAGCUGCUAUGAAUGAUGAAUUUGCUUCCAACUUAACGGCUUUGCUUUGUCUAAUGGAUCUUAUCAUGAUUGCUUUCCAAUGAUGUACUUGGUAAUCUUGUGACUACUUGAUAGUAAAUGCAGGAGACCGAGCUCCAGUCAGUGCCAGUCUGUGCCUAGAAAUGCAUCCUUUGGAAUUUCUCAAGAACGAGUGUCCUGCUAUUCUGCAUCAACUAGUACAAUCCUGUUUCAACCUUAGGUGAUUCCUUUCAGAAGGAUAUUGCGUUUACA